rfam:Acinetobacter sp. ANC 3813 Contig18, whole genome shotgun sequence.
UUAACUCUGAGGUGUUCGCCAGUAAGUCUAUAUCCCUGCCGAUACUUAUAUCUCCGGAUGCGUUCUGCAUAUUUAGAGUGUAUGCCUGCCUUCGUGCAGGAAACCCAUGGAGUAUGCGUCGCGUCCACCUUGAACUCAUCGGGUUCAGGGUAACGACAUUGCAGCGGCACUUUCGGAGCUAUU